GAGUCAGACCCACAGGAAGCCGGCUUGCAGUCUGCACAGGCCGUCUACGAGGAAGCUGCGCAGGAACAGCUGUGACGAUCGGCACCCGCAGCCGGGCAGGACCGCCCUGCGACGGACAGCUGCCCCACCUUCUGUCCCUGCUUCCAGCUCAGGACCAGCAGGCGGCACGGCUCCUGAGACAGUGGGUGCUCAGUGAAUGUGUCUGACCAGAUGGGUGAAGACAGCCUCGGGUUAGUCGCCCAGCUACCCUCCUGGUCGUAAGAAGAAGAUGCAGGAAGUAAGUUUCUCUUUCCUCCGGUCCUAAGUGCUCUCUCGGCUCUUCCCACGUUCUCUUCUGUGCGUACCAAGGGGGCAGCUGUGACAGAACACCAUGGACUGCGUGGUUUAAUUCACGGGAAUUUAGAGAUGGUGGUGCCAGCUGGGUUGGUGUUAUUUUUGGCCUGUAAGUACAGCCACGUGUGCCCACGUGACCUCUUCCCAAUCCCGCUGGGGGCCCUGCCCUCAGGACCUCAUCUUGCCCUAACUGUCCCCCAAGGCCCCGCCUCUAAAUGCCAUCCCACUGGGGGCUCGGGCUUCAACAUACGAAUUUGGGGGACAAGUGCAUUCAGUCGGUCAUAAAAGAUAAAGAUUCUGUUUCCUCAAAUUUUACAGUAUGAUUUGAUACAAUAAUUGGGGUAUCUUCUCUGACAUAAUUAUCCUUUUUCUCUCAUUCUUAUGAAUUAGCAAUUCUUAUAUAUUUAAUUUCUACCUUAGCUUGACGUUGAUACUUAGAAAGAACUAGCUUCUCCUUUUAUAUAUUUACUUUUUUGCUAAAAUGUUUGUAUUUCAAUCAUGCUGGAAGUUACAAAUGCUUUCUAAUGAUCCCCAAAGUCAAACAGUAAAUUGUCUCUUUUUUUUAAAGGCUUUAGGGAUGAGGAAAUAGCUCAUCUGUCUUCAAACGCACGUGAAGGGUCACCCAUCACCUAAUAAUCUCCCCUCCCCCAUGUCACAGCUAUCUUCUGCGCAGGGGAGCUUCCUGCUUUAUUCUGCCUUCAUGCUGAGCAGUUACGACCGUAUCUGUUCAGAAGAAACAUAUGUGAAAAAUAUAAAAUACUCAGGCAGAUGAAUGGAAUGUCUCAGUUAAUCUUUUCUUCUGCACAUUCUGCCCUGGACCUUCUGCCUCCCUUAAAUAUUUUUCUUCCCUGAAUUUAUAGCCCCUCAGACACUGUUUUGUAAUUUCAGGACUGGGUUGGGGACUGACUCUGCCUCCUUAUCACCGAUGAUCUCGACUUUAACUCUGUGCUUUAAAGUACUUCCCCAAAGAGCCCUCCCCCGUGGUUCUUGCCACGGAAGAUGCCGCCUGCCUGGCGGAGCCGGGGUGAUGCUCGGGGUGGGUCAGAGACCCUCGCUGACUGACCCUCUGUGUGCUCUUUCCCUGCCCACAGCCUCCUCUGCGCCCGUGACCUCCUGGCCUGUCCAGUCCCUCGGCUCUGCGGCCUGCGGGGUCCCCUCCCUGGGCUCCUGUCAGGAGCCCGACGUAGUGGUCAGCGGGCAGAACCGGGGCCGUUUUCAACACCUUUCGUGUACUCCUCCCGGCAAACCCUGAGGCAUAAACAACCUCACUCUAUAAGAGGAAGCAAACCCAGGGAGGUUACGGAGACGCCUGGGGCCUCAUAAUAGCUAACUGUGGCCCAGCGGGGCCUGAACCCUGGGCUGUGUCCUUCUGCUGAAUUUGUGGGGAAGCAAAGGCACCUGGGCCCCAGGCAGAUGGGAAGACACAGCACCUACAGUCAUAUUUAUUUACUGUAAACCUGCCAGAGAGUAAAUGCAAGAGCACCGGAGAGGAAGCAGCUUCAGGCCUUGGGCAGACAGGUGUGUGUGUGUGUGCGUGUUGUGUGUGUGUGUGUGUGUGUGUGUGUGCGUGUGCGUGUGUGUGUGUGUGUGUGUGCGUGUGUGUGUGUGUGUGUGUGUCUGCAAGGCUGGGGAGAGACCAAGACAGAUGGAGAGAGACAGACAGAUAGAGAGAGGAUCAAAGAGAAGGAGACAGAGAGAGAGAGAGAGAGAGAGAGAGAGGGAGGGAGGGACACUGACUGAUGACUGAUUUGACAUCUCAUCACUGAGGGCUCUCUGUCCGCAGAUGCCGCGGUUGCAUUUUGCGUGGAGUCUGCAUGGGUUUUAUGGUUAGUUUGCUCCGUUAGUCUGCCGGUUGCACAGACAGGCCCGGCAUCUUCUGGGCGGGGACGCAUUCCUGUCUGGUUGUGCUUUGGAACCUGAACCAUGAGGAAAUGGAGCCUGGCUUCUGAGAAAGAUAAACACUGUCAGAAAUCCCCAGGGGCCCGAACCCACUGCAUCCCCUUCAGCACUGAUCUCACAUGAUCUUGGCCAGAGACACAGCCUGAGGGUCCUCUCCUGUGACACAAGGACGGGGGUCCUGCUGAGGACGAAGGAAGUCUGCAGUUUCCAAAUACGGCAUUCAAAGCCCCCGAAUUGAGAAAAACUCCAACAGAUGCAAGAGAUAAUGUCAAACAGAGCAGGACACACCCCGUAAAGGGAGCUUCACGGCCAUGUCUCUGGGGUGGCCGGCAAGGGACACAGACUGUGGACACUGCUGGGACCGAGGCGGGGCCAGAAGCCUGGCUCUGGAUCCUCUCCCAGGACCCUCACCUGCUCAGCGGCCCUGGCAAAUACUGGGUUCCCAUCGCCUCUUGUGCCACACGGUUGAGAUUUAGACCAUUAAAGAAAAUACCCUGUGUACUAUCUUCUAUCAAAAACCUCCACCAUGGGUGGGUUUGGCGUUUUCCUCCAAAUAUCAGAGCAGUUUUAUAGAACGCUCAGGAAGACCCUUUCACCUCUGUUAGUAAGCGGAUUCUGUGAAGCCCACGUGGGAAUUCUAUCCAGAUAGACUCCAAGUCUGCUCUGGGCCCUUUGAAAUGGUUGCACUUUUGAGACAGAAAGAAAGAGAGUGACAGAAAGCAGCCACUCUCCUUCACUUUUGGAAACCUCUGCCCAGGUCAAACAGGUGGACUUCUUUGUUCUAAAAUGUUAAUCUUUUUAAAAUGUGAAUCCCUGAAGUGCGUCCUGAAACUAGCUGUUCGUUACAUGAAUAUCUAAUGUCUAGUACAAGAUCUACUACCAUUUUA